rnacentral:rRNA from 1 species
GACGAACGCUGGCGGCGUGCUUAACACAUGCAAGUCGAACGGAAAGGCCCUGCUUUUGUGGGGUGCUCGAGUGGCGAACGGGUGAGUAACACGUGAGUAACCUGCCCUUGACUUUGGGAUAACUUCAGGAAACUGGGGCUAAUACCGGAUAGGAGCUCCUGCUGCAUGGUGGGGGUUGGAAAGUUUCGGCGGUUGGGGAUGGACUCGCGGCUUAUCAGCUUGUUGGUGGGGUAGUGGCUUACCAAGGCUUUGACGGGUAGCCGGCCUGAGAGGGUGACCGGCCACAUUGGGACUGAGAUACGGCCCAGACUCCUACGGGAGGCAGCAGUGGGGAAUAUUGCACAAUGGGCGGAAGCCUGAUGCAGCAACGCCGCGUGCGGGAUGACGGCCUUCGGGUUGUAAACCGCUUUCGCCUGUGACGAAGCGUGAGUGACGGUAAUGGGUAAAGAAGCACCGGCUAACUACGUGCCAGCAGCCGCGGUGAUACGUAGGGUGCGAGCGUUGUCCGGAUUUAUUGGGCGUAAAGGGCUCGUAAGCGGUUGAUCGCGUCGGAAGUGUAAUCUUGGGGCUUAACCCUGAGCGUGCUUUCGAUACGGGUUGACUUGAGGAAGGUAGGGGAGAAUGGAAUUCCUGGUGGGGCGGUGGAAUGCGCAGAUAUCAGGAGGAACACCAGUGGCGAAGGCGGUUCUCUGGGCCUUUCCUGACGCUGAGGAGCGAAAGCGUGGGGAGCGAACAGGCUUAGAUACCCUGGUAGUCCACGCUGUAAACGGUGGGUACUAGGUGUGGGAUCCAUUCCACGGGUUCCGUGCCGUAGCUAACGCUUUAAGUACCCCGCCUGGGGAGUACGGCCGCAAGGCUAAAACUCAAAGGAAUUGACGGGGCCCCGCACAAGCGGCGGAGCAUGCGGAUUAAUUCGAUGCAACGCGUAGAACCUUACCUGGGUUUGACAUGGAUCGGGAGUGCUCAGAGAUGGGUGUGCCUCUUUUGGGGUCGGUUCACAGGUGGUGCAUGGCUGUCGUCAGCUCGUGUCGUGAGAUGUUGGGUUAAGUCCCGCAACGAGCGCAACCCUUGUUCACUGUUGCCAGCACGUUAUGGUGGGGACUCAGUGGAGACCGCCGGGGUCAACUCGGAGGAAGGUGGGGAUGACGUCAAGUCAUCAUGCCCCUUAUGUCCAGGGCUUCACGCAUGCUACAAUGGCUGGUACAGAGAGUGGCGAGCCUGUGAGGGUGAGCGAAUCUCGGAAAGCCGGUCUCAGUUCGGAUUGGGGUCUGCAACUCGACCACAUGAAGUCGGAGUCGCUAGUAAUCGCAGAUCAGCAACGCUGCGGUGAAUACGUUCCCGGGGCU